rnacentral:rRNA from 1 species
GUGGGGAAUAUUGGACAAUGGGGGAAACCCUGAUCCAGCCAUGCCGCGUGUGUGAAGAAGGCCUUAGGGUUGUAAAGCACUUUCAGUGGGGAGGAAGGCUUCAGAUUAAUACUCUGGAGUACUUGACGUUACCCACAGAAGAAGCACCGGCUAAUUUCGUGCCAGCAGCCGCGGUAAUACGAAAGGUGCGAGCGUUAAUCGGAAUUACUGGGCGUAAAGCGCGAGUAGGCGGUUUGUUAAGUAUGAGGUGAAAGACCCGGGGUAAACCUGGGAAUUGCAUCGGAUACUGGCAAGCUAGAAUGCGGUAGAGGGGGGUGGAAUUCCAGGUGUAGCGGUGAAAUGCGUAGAUAUCUGGAGGAACACCGAUGGCGAAGGCAAUCCCCUGGGCCUGUACUGACGCUCAUGCACGAAAGCGUGGGGAGCAAACAGGAUUAGAAACCCUGGUAGUCC